rnacentral:rRNA from 1 species
CAGGAAGAAGCUUGCUUCUUUGCUGACGAGUGGCGGACGGGUGAGUAAUGUCUGGGAAACUGCCUGAUGGAGGGGGAUAACUACUGGAAACGGUAGCUAAUACCGCAUAACGUCGCAAGACCAAAGAGGGGGACCUUCGGGCCUCUUGCCAUCGGAUGUGCCCAGAUGGGAUUAGCUAGUAGUUGGGGUAACGGCUCACCUAGGCGACGAUCCCUAGCUGGUCUGAGAGGAUGACCAGCCACACUGGAACUGAGACACGGUCCAGACUCCUACGGGAGGCAGCAGUGGGGAAUAUUGCACAAUGGGCGCAAGCCUGCUGCAGCCAUGCCGCGUGUAUGAAGAAGGCCUUCGGGUUGUAAAGUACUUUCAGCGGGGAGGAAGGGAGUAAAGUUAAUACCUUUGCUCAUUGACGUUACCCGCAGAAGAAGCACCGGCUAACUCCGUGCCAGCAGCCGCGGUAAUACGGAGGGUGCAAGCGUUAAUCGGAAUUACUGGGCGUAAAGCGCACGCAGGCGGUUUGUUAAGUCAGAUGUGAAAUCCCCGGGCUCAACCUGGGAACUGCAUCUGAUACUGGCAAGCUUGAGUCUCGUAGAGGGGGGUAGAAUUCCAGGUGUAGCGGUGAAAUGCGUAGAGAUCUGGAGGAAUACCGGUGGCGA